CUCUUUCACUCAGUCUACUGAUUCAAAGGUUAAUCUCCUCCUGAAACCUCCUUACAGACACACUCAGAAAAUGUUUAACCAGAUAUUUGGGCACCCCAUGGCCCCGUCAGGUGACAUAAAAUUAACCGUCAUAGAGGCAAAGGAUGAAUAGUGUUACCAGAGACAGCCUUGUGUGAACUGGAGUACUGAGUUUCAAGAAAGGAUCUGUGAUCCAGAGAGAUGCAGCUGCUGUCCUGACAGCUCCCAGGCAGGGAGGGAGAGGGUAAUUGAGGAAGACGGAGAAGAUGGCGGGGUAGAAGGACGCUCGCAGGUCACCCUCUCCCACAAAUACACCAAGACCCACAUCUACAGACCCACUCAGCCAACCAGAGCACCUGUGGAACUCCGACAGAACAUCGCCCUCUUCAAAAGAUAAAGACGCCAAAAAUCUGGAAAUACUUAAAGAUAGUGAAGAUCUAACAAGAGAUUGAGAAAGCUUCAGACCAAGUCCAGAAGGCAAGAACUCAAAGACAGAGAAAGGCUCCUGUCGAAUCAUCCUACCAUAAAGCUUCUGGCCCAGCUGAAGAGGAUGGAAGUGGUAUCUUUUCUACAACAAGAAAUCUCUGAACUAGGUCCUUCAGCUUGGCCAGUGUCACACUAAAGGACAAAAAAUAAAGAAUUCGGAAAAUCUUCUCUUAGAAUAAUAGCUUGGAUCGCUUAACACUUGGCUGCAUAAUCCCUUUGAAGGACAAAAGC